rnacentral:rRNA from 1 species
AUUGAACGCUGGCGGCAUGCUUUACACAUGCAAGUCGAACGGUAACAGGUUAAGCUGACGAGUGGCGAACGGGUGAGUAAUGCAUCGGAACGUGCCCGGUCGUGGGGGAUAACACUUCGAAAGAAGUGCUAAUACCGCAUACGAUCUGAGGAUGAAAGCGGGGGACCGUAAGGCCUCGCGCGAUCGGAGCGGCCGAUGUCAGAUUAGGUAGUUGGUGGGGUAAAGGCUCACCAAGCCGACGAUCUGUAGCUGGUCUGAGAGGACGACCAGCCACACUGGGACUGAGACACGGACCAGACUCCUACGGGAGGCAGCAGUGGGGAAUUUUGGACAAUGGGCGAAAGCCUGAUCCAGCAAUGCCGCGUGCAGGAAGAAGGCCUUCGGGUUGUAAACUGCUUUUGUACGGAGCGAAAAGGCUCUCUCUAAUACAGGGGGCUCAUGACGGUACCGUAAGAAUAAGCACCGGCUAACUACGUGCCAGCAGCCGCAGUAA